CUGUUUUUGCAACCACAGUUUGCCUUCAUUGAGCUGACAAACUUUUAAUCCUUACAUGGGUAGAGAUCAGAAAAUAUUUGUUGGUGUUCUGCCGUUACACGUUUCUAAACAUAUGCAGCCCUGUCUGUACGGGAAACUGUUCCAAAUCAAGCUAGAGCUGAGCCGGAACAUACCACCAUUUUUCUUGCAUCCCACAAAACUUUCAGUGUGAUAUUUCUGAAAUUGUGUGUGUGGAAAGGUAGGAGUGCCAGCCUUUCAUUUUUUCUUGUGGUGCUUGAACAAGGCGGCGGGCAUGGAGCUGAGAUGGAUAACCCUUUCCCUGUGCCCUGCUCAUGGGCUGUGCAUUUGAGAACAUUGCCUUUGGCUAUCUCUGCCAAGCUCAAAUGCUGUCAUCCACACGAGGAGAUGUCACUGCCUGCCUGUCUGCAGGAGUUAGCAGUAAUGACUUGGCCUGCAACACCGAAACUUCUCAGGGAUGCAGACUCAGCUUCCUGCAGACUCAGCUCCCUCCUCGCGUGCUCUGGAGCCUCCUUUUGGACCAUGUUGGCGUUGCUCAUGAUGGCCUCCAUCCCGAGUACCAAGGCAAAGCCAACACCGUCUCCUUCCAUCCCAGGGACCUGCAGUUCAGCAGAGUGAAGCAGCCCACUGGCUUUUAUCAGAGGCUGUGCACUUGGCAUAACAGCCAGGUCAGAUGCCAAGUUUGGGAGAGCAGUAGCUCGGCUCGUGUUUGAGUAAGAGACUGAAUGCCUUGUCUGAAUUGCCUCGAUUGUUCUCCAGGGAAACAUGGCCUCACCAGUGAGGUCCAUAUUGCUGCAUCUCCAAGUCAGAGGUCCCUCCUUGGAGGUCAUUAGUGUUUCAGGGUAGCAGUGGCAGUGCCCACCAGUUUGUUUCCAUUUCCAGGGCUAAAGCAAUAUGGCUUAGGAGCUGGAGAGGCCACAUCUGUACUAUCCCCACAGGACGUGGAUAAGUACUUUUCCUGAUAAGGUGCCUUCACAGCAAAGAGAAAAAACUGAUCUUAAAAUUCCUUAUAUCACUGGUGGGGUUUUGUUUUGUUUUGUGUGUUUUGUGUUUUUUGUUUUGGUUGUUGUUCUCCUGUGGGAAAACUAGCCCUGAAACAAUCUAAUUUACGACAUUCCUCCUCUGUAGUUUCAAGAGUUGCUGCCCUAAACACUUAUGCUCCAGCUUGAUUUAGGAAGUCUUGAGCGUAUGCAGUGAUGAAUUGCCUUAAAGCAUGGCCAGGCCCCCUCCCUUGCCCUGCUUGAUGUACGGGGCAUGCCUGCUUCCUCCUCCUGCUGUGCUAAAAGCACCGUCCUUCCAGGAUGCAGCCAUUUGGUGAAACCUCCUUCAUCCUUUGUGCUGAAAACAGUGCUGUGGAGUAAGAGUUAUCUCCUCCUGUGCUGUGCUUUAAAAGCAAGCCAAGCUCAGGCAACGUUAGAGGAAGAAACCAUGAAGUUCUGCUUCAGACACUGAAAUUCGGUGGGUUGAAAUGAAAUAGAUCUUAAUUUUGGUUUUGCUGCAUAAGCUACAUCAAAACCCUGAAGUUGCUGCUGCUUUACUUCCUGGGUAUGAGUACUUUUACUCUACUGAUUUAUUACUUUGCAAGCAGAAGCUAGUGUACCUGUGAGUGAGUUACCUUUGAAUUUUGAGCUCAGAUCAGCCUCUAGUGAACAGGCUUCCUAAUUAAAAGCACUUCCAACAGUACAUCUUUAUUAUGGUCCAGUC
rnacentral:lncRNA from 1 species